rnacentral:rRNA from 1 species
CCUACGGGAGGCAGCAGUGGGGGAUAUUGCACAAUGGGGGGAACCCUGAUGCAGCGACGCCGCGUGGGUGAAGAAGCGCCUCGGCGCGUAAAGCCCUGUCAGCAGGGAAGAAAAUGACGGUACCUGAAGAAGAAGCCCCGGCUAACUACGUGCCAGCAGCCGCGGGAAUACGUAGGGGGCAAGCGUUAUCCGGAUUUACUGGGUGUAAAGGGGGCGCAGACGGCGAGGCAAGCCAGGAGUGAAAGCCCGGGGCCCAACCCCGGGACUGCUCUUGGAACUGCGUGGCUGGAGUGCAGGAGGGGCAGGCGGAAUGCCUGGUGUAGCGGUGAAAUGCGUAGAUAUCAGGAGGAACACCGGUGGCGAAGGCGGCCUGCUGGACUGCAACUGACGUUGAGGCCCGAAAGCGUGGGGAGCAAACAGGAUUAGAUACCCUGGUAGUC